AACGAACGCUGGCGGCAUGCCUAACACAUGCAAGUCGAACGAAGCCUUCGGGAUUAGUGGCGCAAGGGUGCGUAACGCGUGGGAAUCUGCCCUUGGGUUCGGAAUAACAGUUAGAAAUGACUGCUAAUACCGGAUGAUGUCUUCGGACCAAAGAUUUAUCGCCCAAGGAUGAGCCCGCGUAGGAUUAGGUAGUUGGUGGGGUAAUGGUCCACCAAGCCGACGACCCUUAGCUGGUCUGAGAGGCUGAUCAGCCGCACUGGGACUGAGACACGGCCCAGACUCCUACAGGAGGCAGCAGUGGGGAAUAUUGGACAAUGGGCGAACGCCUGAUCCAGCAAUGCCGCGUGAGUGAUGAAGGCCUUAGGGUUGUAAAGCUCUUUUACCAGGGAUGAUAAUGACAGUACCUGGAGAAUAAGCUCCGGCUAACUCCGUGCCAGCCGCCGCGGUAAAAC
rnacentral:rRNA from 1 species